rnacentral:rRNA from 1 species
AGAGUUUGAUCCUGGCUCAGGAUGAACGCUGGCGGCGUGCUUAACACAUGCAAGUCGAACGAUCCUUCGGGAUAGUGGCGGACGGGUGAGUAACGCGUGGGAAUCUGCCCUCAGGAGGGGGAUAACGGCUGGAAACGGCCGCUAAUACCCCAUAUGCCGAGAGGUGAAAUGAAUUUCGCCUGAGGAUGAGCCCGCGUCUGAUUAGCUAGUUGGUGGGGUAAAGGCCUACCAAGGCAACGAUCAGUAGCUGGUCUGAGAGGAUGAUCAGCCACACUGGGACUGAGACACGGCCCAGACUCCUACGGGAGGCAGCAGUGGGGAAUUUUCCGCAAUGGGCGAAAGCCUGACGGAGCAACGCCGCGUGAGGGAUGAAGGCCUCUGGGCUGUAAACCUCUUUUCUCAAGGAAGAAGACCUGACGGUACUUGAGGAAUAAGCCACGGCUAAUUCCGUGCCAGCAGCCGCGGUAAUACGGGAGUGGCAAGCGUUAUCCGGAAUUAUUGGGCGUAAAGCGUCCGCAGGCGGCCUUGUAAGUCUGUUGUUAAAGCGUGGAGCUCAACUCCAUUUAAGCAAUGGAAACUACAAGGCUGGAGUGUGGUAGGGGCAGAGGGAAUUCCCGGUGUAGCGGUGAAAUGCGUAGAUAUCGGGAAGAACACCAGUGGCGAAGGCGCUCUGCUGGGCCAUAACUGACGCUCAUGGACGAAAGCCAGGGGAGCGAAAGGGAUUAGAUACCCCUGUAGUCCUGGCCGUAAACGAUGAACACUAGGUGUCGGGGGAAUCGACCCCCUCGGUGUCGUAGCCAACGCGUUAAGUGUUCCGCCUGGGGAGUACGCACGCAAGUGUGAAACUCAAAGGAAUUGACGGGGGCCCGCACAAGCGGUGGAGUAUGUGGUUUAAUUCGAUGCAACGCGAAGAACCUUACCAGGGUUUGACAUCCUGCGAACCCCUGAGAAAUCGGGGGGUGCCUUCGGGAGCGCAGAGACAGGUGGUGCAUGGCUGUCGUCAGCUCGUGUCGUGAGAUGUUGGGUUAAGUCCCGCAACGAGCGCAACCCACGUCUUUAGUUGCCAGCAUUCAGUUGGGCACUCUAGAGAGACCGCCGGUGAUAAACCGGAGGAAGGUGUGGAUGACGUCAAGUCAUCAUGCCCCUUACAUCCUGGGCUACACACGUACUACAAUGCUACGGACAAAGGGCAGCAAGCUCGCGAGAGUUAGCAAAUCCCAUAAACCGUGGCUCAGUUCAGAUCGUAGGCUGCAACUCGCCUACGUGAAGGAGGAAUCGCUAGUAAUCGCAGGUCAGCAUACUGCGGUGAAUACGUUCCCGGGCCUUGUACACACCGCCCGUCACACCAUGGAAGUUGGCCAUGCCCGAAGUCGUUACUCCAACCCUUGUGGAGGAGGACGCCGAAGGUGGGGCUGAUGACUGGGGUGAAG